AACGAACGCUGGCGGCAUGCCUAACACAUGCAAGUCGAACGAGACCUUCGGGUCUAGUGGCGCACGGGUGCGUAACGCGUGGGAACCUGCCCUUAGGUUCGGAAUAACUCCCCGAAAGGGGUGCUAAUACCGGAUAAUGUCUUCGGACCAAAGAUUUAUCGCCUUUGGAUGGGCCCGCGUUGGAUUAGCUAGUUGGUAGGGUAAAAGCCUACCAAGGCGACGAUCCAUAGCUGGUAUGAGAGGAUGAUCAGCCACACUGGGACUGAGACACGGCCCAGACUCCUACGGGAGGCAGCAGUGGGGAAUAUUGGACAAUGGGCGAAAGCAUGAUCCAGCAAUGCCGCGUGAGUGAUGAAGGCCUUAGGGUUGUAAAGCUCUUUUACCCGGGAUGAUAAUGACAGUACCGGGAGAAUAAGCUCCGGCUAACUCCGUG
rnacentral:rRNA from 1 species